rnacentral:rRNA from 2 species
UUCGGUGAUGAUGCGCUUGGGGGACACACCCGUUCCCAUUCCGAACACGACGGUUAAGACCCAAGCGGUCGAUGGUACUUGGUGGGCAGCUGCCUGGGAGAGUAGAUGGUCGCCGAAG